rnacentral:rRNA from 1 species
GACGAACGCUGGUGGCGUGCUUAACACAUGCAAGUCGAACGGAAAGGCCCUGCUUUUGUGGGGUGCUCGAGUGGCGAACGGGUGAGUACCACGUGAGUAACCUGCCCUUGACUUUGGGAUAACUUCAGGAGACUGGGGCUAAUACCGGAUAGGAGCUCCUGCUGCAUGGUGGGGGUUGGAAAGUUUCGGCGGUUGGGGAUGGACUCGCGGCUUAUCAGCUUGUUGGUGGGGUAGUGGCUUACCAAGGCUUUGACGGGUAGCCGGCCUGAGAGGGUGACCGGCCACAUUGGGACUGAGAUACGGCCCAGACUCCUACGGGAGGCAGCAGUGGGGAAUAUUGCACAAUGGGCGGAAGCCUGAUGCAGCAACGCCGCGUGCGGGAUGACGGCCUUCGGGUUGUAAACCGCUUUCGCCUGUGACGAAGCGUGAGUGACGGUAAUGGGUAAAGAAGCACCGGCUAACUACGUG